rnacentral:snRNA from 1 species
CUACUUAUCUGGCAGAGGAGAUUCCAUGAUCACAAAGUUGUUUUCACAGGGUGAGGCUUAUCCAUUAUAUUCCAGAUAUGCUAACCCCUGCGAUUUUCCCAAUUGUGGGAAAUUUGACUGCAUAAUUUGUGUUAGUGGUGGACUGCAUUCACAAUCUCCCA